rnacentral:lncRNA from 1 species
AUAUAUUAACUCAGCUAUCUGUGAACCAGCCUCGGUUUGGUCGUGCAGAUCAGCAUAGGCAGCAAGCAGUGGCAGUAGUAGUAGCAACAGCAAGAGCACAGCCAUGUCGCAGCAGCCUCAGCCGCAACAGCAGUAGCAGCAAGCAGUUCGUAUGCAAAACCAUCUCAAAAGAGAGAGAUAGCAGAGCAGUAGCUAGUAAUCCGGCACCACAGUUACACCAAAUCUCAAUAGCAGCAGCCAUAGAAAAACAACCAGGGUGAGAGAGUAGAAGGAAAAGAAAGGGGAUGCAUGUGUUUCAAGAAGAGCAAGGGGUUUCAAUUUAAAGAGGAGAAACAAGUAGCAGAUCCGGAAGGGCAGCAGUAAACAAGAGGAGGAGCAACACCCUGACCAAUUUCAAAAGAAGCUGUAGAACCAGAGGAGAGUCACACGGUCAUUAGUCUUCCACAGCCACAGUAGAACCAUCAAAUAAGGUAAUCUGGAAAAAGAAUUAGAAUGAGAGGGAAAUCACAUCAUGUCAUGAUUCUUGGUUGAUGCAUAUAUUAGUAUGUUUAGGAGUUGUGUGCACGCACUUAGUUAUAUGCAUUAAACCUGAAAAAUGAACCUCAGGAGAUGGCAGCUAUGUUGAUCUGUGCAUAUACUAGUAUGUGUAGGCCUUGGGUGUUGCAUUUGCAUCCAUUAGAAGCUGAACCAGAACAUCUCUGAUUCAGUAAAAUAUUCACAUUAAUAGUUUGAUCUUCAGAACGGUUUGUGUAACUAAAAUUUUACUAUAGAUAAACAGGUGCUCAGGUGAUAAAUCAAGAAACAGUAGAAUGUAUAUAAAGAUAUCAUCAGUCUUAUGUCUUUAUCAAAUUUAGUAACUGCAGAUCUUUAUUCAUAGUACAAAUAUUGAUAUUCUUGACAUAUAGAUAAAAUCAGAUUUUAGAUUUAGCCAUGGACUUGGAAAUUAGUAUCUGAACCCUAGCACAUAUUCAAUUUAUCAUGAAACAUAAGGACCAUAACAACUCUAUCAAUUAGGCUAGUUCAAUUAGUAAACAGUAGUAUAUAUUUUAGAUUGUAUAGAAUCACCAUAUAAUUGGAUUUAGGGUGAAACAUUCAUUUAUAUAUAAUACCAAGUUCAGGAAGCACUGGUAUUUCAGAUUAAAAUAUAGAAGAUCAUGUAGCAGCAGGUUUUAGUAAAAAGAAUAGAACUGAGCAAUUAAGGAUACCAAACAGAAAACCAUAGGUUCUUACAGAAAAUAAUCUAGAGAAGAGGUUAGAGCAUAGCAUCUGAAUCAAGUGGAUAUGUAUAUAAUUAGUUGACCAAUAGUUUAAUCCAUGUCCUCAUCAACCACUGUAAUUAAAUAAUGUAUAAAUUUGGUUAUUAAUCACACAAGCAUAUAGAGAUGAAAAUCUGGACACUAGUAAUAUCAAGGAUAAACAAUGCAUGAGUUUACUAAUUCUAUGGGAUUUAUAUGUGUAAUAUGUGCAUAUGUAUAUCUUCAUUUUUUUCAGUUUAAGUGCAAAAUUAGUAGUAGCUUAUGAAUUAUCAGGAAGCAGUAAUAUCCAUAGGGACUUGAUCAUGUUAGUGUGCUUUUAAUUUCAGUCCUGCAUUUUCAUAAGAUAUAUUCAUAUGAGCAUUCAUUCAUCAUGGGCAUACAGGCAUCAUCCAAUCUAGCAAAUGAAUUGAUCUAGAACCCUAAAACUAGUAAAUACAAUCAAUAGCAUAGAGUCAUCAAGUUGAUCAUUAGGAUUAGUCUCCAAGUAUCAUCAGUGCAUCACAACCAUAAAUCAUAAGGGAAAGAACACCUUACCAGUAUAACACACUAGAGAUCAGGGAAAAGGAGAUAGAAGGGAGGAAUCGAAGUGGUAGCAGCGGUAGGGGCCUGGGAACUUCCUCUGAAUCCUUACCUCGCCGGAGUUUUGCCGGCGGCUGCAUUUAGGAUUGAGGAGGUUGGAAGUUAGGUUUAGCUUAGGGGCAGAGAAGCGUGGAGCCAAGAAACCGAUUCGCGGCUGCGGGACAUCUGCUUGAGGGGUCGCCGGAGUGGGGCGCGGUAGCCGGCGCUAGGGAGAGUGGCGGCGUCGCCGGCGCUGCCUAGGAAGCGGCGGCACUGGAAAGAACGUGGGGGAGAGAAGGGGAGAACGAGGAGAAAAAAAAGAGAAGAGGAAGAAGGUGGUGUAGUGGGCUUUUCUGUUGGGCUUCUACAUGUGGGCUGUAUAUAUGAGUACUAUUGAAUUUAAUUAUUAUUGAUUAUUGAAUAUAAAUCUAAAGUAAAACUUCUUUCAAUUAAAAUAAUUACUCUUUUAAAAAUAAAAAGUGCAAUGAUGUUUGUUUUAACACUAAAUAUGUUAGUGCAAAACUAAAUUAUGUUAUAUAAAUCAUAGAUCGUUACCAAAUCAAAACAUACAAAUAUAUUUAACCAUAUUCAACUUAAAAAUAAAUAUGGGUCAUCUAGUUGAGUCUUGAGGUGAGAGUCGAUAACCUAUAGUGUUGUAGAUCAGCUGUAAUAUUAGGGUUAGGUAUAUCAUGUGCAUCAUACUAAUAUCUACAUUCUUGGUUUUAGUUCUAAUUUGCCAUAUUUUUACAGAUGAAUAUUUAUCUUGGAUUUCAUCGAAUUCUUCAUUGAUUUAUUCGUUCUUCGAUUUCGGGUAUCUCAGGCAAGUCCAACACCUUUGAUCAACUCUUGUUAUAUUUUUAUAAUUGCAAUCUAUAUGUAUCACCUUGCAUUAAAUUAUAUUUUCUAUAAUUGAAAUAAAUAUGCUGAUGGAUUGGAUUGACUGGUGGAGCAGUCGGUCAUAUUAUAGAUGUAUUCUGAACCUGCUAUGGUGGUGGGGUUUCGGUUGCACAUAUUUAUCAUCAUAAGGUUAAAUAAUAACUGUUAUAUGGCAUUCAAGCGUCGUAGCGAUCGUGUCGACCAUAUGACCUGGAAUGGGACAUGCUGGCUUAGUAGUUCUUUCUUAAUGGUUUUAUCCUGCGGCUUAAGGACUUCCGCGAAUCCUGUGAGCGUGGGCUAGCGAUGAGGGUUGCCGUUGUUGCGGAAUCCGAUUAGAUGAUGUGGAUCGCCGUUGUUGCGGGAUCCGAUGAUUCGCCGUUGUUGCGGGAAUCACCCGCAGAGAUUAUUGCCAGAUGGGAUUGAUGAAAAGCUUGUGACCUUAGCCUUGCCGGCAUACACCAUGAAGUGUGCUUCAAGCGCCGACGGGCGUGGGCAUUAAAAGGUUUAAGGCGUCUGUGGGUACAGCGACACACCUCUGCAGAGUGUAUGAAUUGUGAUAUGUCACUCCCUGUUUCGGGUAGAAACUGCGAACACGGCAGGAAAGGAACCUAUCGGAGGUUCUAAUACCUGUGGUGCCUUAUAUACAGUAGAUUUUAUAAUUACUUAAUAUGAGUUUUUACAACACUGUUUUAUGAACAUGCAUAAAAUUCCUUGUUGGAUUAUGGUGGCUUUGGACAUAUAUGUAUUAUACAGGUGGAUUAUGGGCAUGUAUUUGUUGGAUUGCUGUAGUUGGACUUGUUGAGUACCAUUCGUACUCAUCCCCUAUAUAUAUUAUUCCUUGUAGUGUUGAGCUAACAAUUAGGUGGAGAAAUGUUCUACAUGAUUGAUCAAGAUCAAAGCAAAGAAUCGUUCCAUAUUUCUACAUCAACUGAGAGUUGAAGGUGACGAAGGUAUAGAGUAGCAAGGUACUGUUAGUGCUUAUUUUGACAAAAAGUUAUUUUUUUAUGGUUUUAUUUAAUGGGUUUCGCUACAAUUGUUUCUGCUAUGCUACUCUGGUGUGCCCAUUUCUCGGUAAGUUAAUUCUUACUAAGGAAUGAGCCGUAGACCGGUAUUCUACCUCGGAAGUGGAAUACGAGGGUCGCUACAUUCCUCUAAAUUUUUUAUUCAAUGGCUUGGACUAUUUACAUGUGAGCUAUUUUUUCUUAGUCAUUGUAUAUCUAAUUUGGUUUUGCGUGUUUGUAAAAAUAAUAUAUGAUAGUGCAACCUGUGUUGUUGAAUUGUUUCAUCGUUUUUUAUCAUUUGGAUGACAUGCAAAAGUAGAAGGGUGUUUUCCAUCAACAAAAAUUAAUGUUUCAUACUUGGAUUUAUAAUUUUUUUUGCAUAAAAUUCGUAGAGUUUAGCCAUGUAUGUUUGUAUACUGGCGUAUAAUGACGUAAUAUAUGUUGACAACUUAUUAUAAUAUUUUGGUGCUAUUUGGAUUACACGCCAAGUGCAUGGGUCAACUAUGCCCAAAUUUUAUAUUUCUUAUAUGGUAUAAUAUAGGCACAUGAACCUUAUAUUACUGGUUUGACUCCAACAAUUGAAUUAGAAAUCAGACGUAUAACUUAUAAUUGUAAUUAUUGAUUGUUUCUUACAGUUUGAUAGCUAAAACAAAUGAGGCCAGGAAUGAAGAGCAUAGGCUCCAGCCACAGAGGGAAAAGAAAGGUUGAGGAGUGCUUUGCGCAGAUUGGGGGGACUCUCUUUUUCUAAAUGAUUUAGUUGAUGACCAAAUGUUUUUUUUCUCAGAUUACUAUAUUUGUUUUUUAAUUUUUAAGGCGUGACAUAUCACAGGUUAUGAUUUUUCAAUAAGUAGAUUUAAUGGCUGAAAAAAAAUUUAAGUGAAAACCGAUGAUAAGAUGUUUUGUGCUUUCCUUUUAAUUUCUAAGUUUUUUCUAAUUUUCAAAUGUGACAUAUGGUGACUUAAUAGCGCUAUGACACAUAGUGACUCCAUAUUUUUCUAAUUUAUACUCCCUCCAUUUAGUCACAUUUCAGAAAAUCGAUUUUACAGUUUUGAUCAUCCCAUUUGUGUCGGUCUUCUUGGUUCCCACACGCGCGUCGAUUAAGUUUUCUCGCGGAGUUAAUUCGCCCUCAAGAGAUCAAUCGCUCCUUCCUUUUCUACCGUGCGAGGCAACAGAUUCGUUUUUCACCACGCGGCAACCGCCUCCUAUUUGUUUAUCGCGGUCGCA